UAAACAAGGAUUAGAUACCCUCUUAUACUUAGAAGUAACUUUUUUAAGGUAGUAGUUGGUAUAGUCUUGAAACCUAAAGGGUAU
rnacentral:rRNA from 1 species